GGUGAGGUGGGUGAGAGGCUGAAACCACCAGUUUGCUAAACUGGCGUACGGGAAACUGUACCGCGGGUUCGAAUCCCGCCCUCACCGCGA
rnacentral:tRNA from 3 species